UAAGGAAUAUUGGUCAAUGGACGCAAGUCUGAACCAGCCAUGCCGCGUGAAGGAUGAAGGUCCUCUGGAUUGUAAACUUCUUUUAUAGCAGAAUAAAGUGACCCACGUGUGGGUUUUUGUAUGUAUGCUAUGAAUAAGGAUCGGCUAACUCCGUGCCAGCAGCCGCGGUAAUACGGAGGAUCCGAGCGUUAUCCGGAUUUAUUGGGUUUAAAGGGUGCGUAGGCGGAAAGAUAAGUCAGCCUGUGAAAGUUUGCGGCUCAACCGUAAAAUUGCAGUUGAUACUGUUUUUCUUGAGUGUACAUAAGGUAGGCGGAAUUCGUGGUGUAGCGGUGAAAUGCUUAGAUAUCACGAAGAACUCCGAUUGCGAAGGCAGCUUACCGGGGUACAACUGACGCUGAUGCACGAAAGUGUGGGUAUCAAACA
rnacentral:rRNA from 1 species